CUUUCUGCCUGGCCUCAGGCUUCAGAGCUAAUGCACCGGUCCCGGGCGGUGGGAAUCAAGCGGUACGCGGGACCCGACCCUGCCCCCGCGGUCCCGCACAUUUGCAGCCCUUGGUGACCCCGGCUGGCAGCCGCCAGUUCAGUGCAGAGGUGGGCUCGCGGUUGCCGGAAAGGUCAUUGAGGUGGCAUCCCUGUCCGCGCGCUGUUUACGUGACUUAAUGAUCAGAGAAGCACUCCAUAUCCCCUUGGGGUCAUGAGCAGAACGAUCUGAACCCCGGCAGAUGUGAUAGACCUGUGUCCCGGAAUCCCGGAACUGAACCCAGGAAGGGUGUAGACUCUCAAAGAUCCAAACCAGAACAAGAAGAAUCCUGUUCUCUAGCUAAGAAGACAGUGAAAGAGAUGCACAGAGGCAGAGCCCAUAGAGGGGAGUGCAGUAUUUGUAGUUAGGCACCGUGUUGUGCAUCUCACCUUGAGAAGUCAUCCAUCUGCCUAACUGAAGCUUAGUGCCCUUUGACCAGCAACCCGGUCAAUCACAGUUCUACUGGCUGAUGAUUCCACAUGAAGGAUGCUUUAUCAAACAGGAAAUGGGUUUUUAGUGCAACGAGGUCUCUACGAGUUCAAAAUUCUGCUUUCGAAUGUUCUUACAAGAUGCACAAUUGGCGCCAACUUACAGGAAAUAUUUUAUUGGAAUUGAAAGGUGCUGGUUCUGACAGCCUCUGUUCAUAUUGUCUACAAAUUCCCACUGCAGUAAUCUUGGUGUGUGAACAACAGCCACUCACUUAUUUACUUUGCCAGCUAUGAGUGAAACCAAAACACACUCCACUGAGCUUCCAGGACUCAGGUGCAGUUUUUGCAGAGUUGGAAGAAGAAAGGGCGAGCCAACAUGGAGAGAGGAUUCCUCAUAGGAACCACCAAACCAUCCUCCACUUGCUAGUUCCAACUUGCCCUGGGAAGCCGGAGAGCCCUCCUUGAUAAGCAGAUCUCCUUUAGGAGUGAGGUUUGCAUAUCUCAGGACCCACCCUUGGAAUAUUCAACUACCAAGCCUGCCUCCAUUCAAGCACAAAGGCCAGUUCCUGGGCAUUGACGUUUUGUAGCAAAUGUUCUUCCCUCAGGCUCCCUUAGACUCUUUCUUCUAAGAGAUUUUCACCCAAAGAAGGCAGACAGGAAAAGGCCUUAUCUUUGUAGACUUUCUAUGGAGUAGGAUAAACUACAGACAAUUGUAUCCAGCAAUUUCCCCAUCCUUAGAUUCUACAUUUUAGAGAUUAAAGACUUGUACGGACUUGUUUUCUUUGUCCCUAGACUGUUUGGGGCAGCACCUGUCAACAGAGUUGACAUUGCACUUGCUAUAGUAAAACACUCCAGAUGACUUCAAGUACACCAGGGAAGGCAGACAUGAAGACACUUUCCUGUAAUCCUGACACUGGGGAGGCAGAGGUUGGAAAACUGGGACAAAUUAGAGGCUGUCCUAGGCCAUCAGGGAUAUGUAGGUGAGAUUCUACCUAAAAAGCAAAACGAAACCAAAUAAACAAGAGCAACAAAGUCUUUCAAUAAAGUAUGUGUGAUGUCUGGCCUGAUUAGAUGCCUGCCUUGGUGGGUAGGUACAAGCUAAGACUCGGAGCCUGGAGUUCAAUGCCUAGGACCACUCAGUGGAAGGAAAUAAACUGUUCAUGUUGUCCUAUAACUGCCACAUACAAAUUGUAUGAAAAUUAAAUAAAUCCUACCACCCCCACAAAAUAACGAUAAAAAUUUUUUAUAAUAAAAAUUUUUCACAUUUUUUAAAAUGAAUUUUUAUAAUAAAAAUUUCACAUGCCC
rnacentral:lncRNA from 1 species